CUAGACCAGUUGCCUUUGACCUCAUGGGGUUGGAUCUAUUUAAAUUAGAUCUUUAUCCAACUAGAACCAGUUUUAAGUGGAGAAGGACUCCUCUAUAUCCACUAGAAGCCACACAAAAAAAAUAAAUAUCGCCCACCUCUUUUCAGCAUGUGAAGUUGAAGAGUCCUUCUUCAUGAAGGCUCUUAAUUAAACACGUUGCCUUAAAAGAUAAACCAGAACUCCUAUGAUUUAAUGCCAAAAUUAAGUAAAUUUUUAUAGCACAUA
rnacentral:lncRNA from 1 species